rnacentral:rRNA from 1 species
AUGCCAGAUGGAGCUAACGAUACUUCUAUUGUUCUCAUACCAAAAGUACCAAACCCAAAAAGCUUGCAGGAUUACAGACCUAUAAGUUUGUGCAAUGUGACUUAUAAGGUUAUUUCCAAGUGUUUGGUUAAUCGACUUAGGCCUUUGCUUGAUGGUAUAAUCUCUCCCGAACAGAGUGCUUUUGUACCGGGAAGAUUAAUUACGGACAAUGCACUAGUGGCUUUUGAGUGUAUCCACUAUAUAAAGCAGGAAAAAGAUCCUACAAAGAGUUUUUGUGCUUAUAAGCUAGACCUAUCUAAAGCUUAUGAUAGGGUGGCUUGGGCCUUCUUGAAGCAAGUGAUGCAAAAGUUGGGUUUCUCUCAAUGA